GCUUACAGGUAAACUUCAUCCGGACUCCUACGAGAGCCGGACUUCACCCUCAACUCCGAUUGCAGGUAGACUCCGUCCGGACUCCUACGGGAGCCUGACUUCGCACCUGACUUUAAUUCCAGGUAGACUCUGCCCGGACUCCUAGGGAGCCGGACCUCGUCCCCAGCUCCAGCUAUGGGACGACUCCGUCCGGACUCCUACGGGAGUCAGACUUCGCCCCC
rnacentral:lncRNA from 1 species